GGGCUGCUCGUCCAAUGGUAGGGCACCUGGCUUGCAACCAGGAUAUCAGGGUUCGACUCCCUGGCGGUCCACUA
rnacentral:tRNA from 1 species